rnacentral:rRNA from 1 species
UNUGGUCUGUCACUGACGCUGAGGCUCGAAAGCGUGGGUAGCAAACAGGAUUAGAUACCCUGGUUGUNCACGCCGUAAACGAUGAGUGCUAGGUGUUAGGCCCUUUUCCGGGGCUUAGUGCCGGAGCUAACGCAAUAAGCACUCCGCCUGGGGAGUACGACCGCAAGGUUGAAACUCAAAGGAAUUGACGGGGGCCCGCACAAGCGGUGGAGCAUGUGGUUUAAUUCGAAGCAACGCGAAGAACCUUACCAGGUCUUGACAUCCCGAUGCUAUUCUUAGAGAUAGGAAGUUACUUCGGUACAUCGGAGACAGGUGGUGCAUGGUUGUCGUCAGCUCGUGUCGUGAGAUGUUGGGUUAAGUCCCGCAACGAGCGCAACCCUUAUUGUUAGUUGCCAUCAUUAAGUUGGGCACUCUAGCGAGACUGCCGGUAAUAAACCGGAGGAAGGUGGGGAUGACGUCAAAUCAUCAUGCCCCUUAUGACCUGGGCUACACACGUGCUACAAUGGUCGGUACAACGAGUUGCGAGCCGGUGACGGCAAGCUAAUCUCUGAAAGCCGAUCUCAGUUCGGAUUGGAGGCUGCAACUCGCCUCCAUGAAGUCGGAAUCGCUAGUAAUCGCGGAUCAGCACGCCGCGGUGAAUACGUUCCCAGGCCUUGUACACACCGCCCGUCACACCACGAGAGUUUGUAACACCCG